GGGGGCGCCGCGCGCACAGGAGCUCUGCCGCGAGCGUCGGUUGUCGGUUUCGCUCAGGACUCUGCUCCUUGGCGUCUUGAACAGAAACUGGGACCUUGUAGGGACUCAACCAGGUUUCUAUAACUCCCAAGCUGCAGCUGUUCCUGCUUGACGGUACAGAAAGGAAUCAGGUGUGGAAGGACCCAGGAAGGAAGGGGAGAAAAAAAGCGACUCUAGCAAAAUGCAGAAAUACACAGAUCAAAAACUAAACAGAAAAUGUGGACAGCAGACCUUGCCCCUUUGAAAUGUAAGAACUGAAGGGGCACUUAGGGGAGAAUUGGAAGUAAGUGGGGGCAAUGAUAACGUUGACUAGAUCUAGGUUAGGACUGUGGGUGAUUUUCUGCCUGGACUUCUGUUAUUUCAGUAUAGCUACUUUUGUGACUUUUUAUAAUCACACACCAGGAGAAAGUGCCCCGUGUCCUCAGAAACAUCUCUUUUCUCUUUCUUUCUUCUUUUAAUAACUGAAGAGGGCAGGGCAAGUUUCCUAACAGGGAAGAGGGAAUUGCCCCUUAAAAGACUCCUACCGCACUUCCUGCUUGCCUGUUGUGUUAAAAAACUGCAGGCAUCGAGUCUGGUGAAGAAGGAAACAAAAAUGAACAGCAGCAAUUUCCUUUGAUCUGGAGUCUGGCCCCCUUUCUUCCUCUUUCUUAAAAAUCUAAUUUGUCAACUGCGGUAUCCUCAGUGCUUGGCAUACAUUAAAUGUUCAAUCAACACUUGAGUGAAUAGAUGACAGUUAGGCGAGUGACCUCUGGUAUGUUGGGACACGUUUGGGGUCCAGAACUUAUGGGAAGAUGCAUGCUCCCCACCAGGCGGCGCAGCGCAGCUCCGUGGGUUUCGCUGGCUCCUGGCCCAAGGAGUCCCCGCUUCGACCGAACUCUCAUCCUCCUGCAGCAGCUGUCGGUGAUGCUCCCACUUCAUCUUCAGGAUCUUGUCAGGGGAAGGCACGAAAGCCAGGAUUCUUUUAAAUACAUACCAGAAGGUGUCUUUGAAUGAAAAUUCUUAAUUUAGCAAGACUUAGAAAGAUGGUAUCUAUAGUACUGUAUCAAUUUUUAAAAAGGGCAACCAAAAAAACAAUUACAAAAAAGAAAACAGAAUAAAGAAAGACAGCCAGAUAUACUGCCUCCUGAGCGAAUCCUGGAAGCAGCAAAUGUCACAUUUGUAAUGAACAGUUUUCUAGUAGGGGCUUCCCUCAUGGUCCAGGGGCUAAGACUCUGUGCUCACAAUGCAAAGGGGCCCGGUUGGGCACUAGAUCCCACAUGCCUCAACUAAAGACACCGCAUGCCUCUGCUAGACCUGGUGCAGCCAAAUAAAUAAAUAUUUUAGAAAA
rnacentral:lncRNA from 1 species